rnacentral:lncRNA from 1 species
AGUAAAAAUGUAAAUUGUUUCUUGACUCAUUAAAUUCCUACUUUGAAACCAAGGGAAAAAAUAACCAAAUCAUAGUAUUUUCCUUCAAAUUUUAGACCUGUGGAUGAAUAAUAUUAUCUCUUAAUCAUGAACUGAAGAAUAGCCUCUUUGGGGAGCUAGCCCUCCUUCUUGCUCAGAAUCGGAGAGAUUUGCUAGAGAAGACCCAAUUCCUUCUACCGCAUGGCACUGUAGCUAAGGAUCCUCCAUGUCCCUUACUUUCAGGGUUGUGAUUAGGCUAUGCCGAUGUCACACCAUUUGUCUGUUUCUCCAUACAAGGCUUUCUGAGAACAUUUCCCCAUAUGCAUCCAGGAAUUGCUCUCCAGCUGCCUUGAAAGUUAGGUAGAAUAUGUAUUUGGCGAUUCAGGGAUUAUUUUUGGAACUCAAACAAUUAGACUUUGCCUACAAUACCUUAAAGAAGUUAUUUAUAUGCUACUGC